rnacentral:rRNA from 1 species
AGCGAACGCUGGCGGCAGGCCUAACACAUGCAAGUCGAACGAACUCUUCGGAGUUAGUGGCGGACGGGUGAGUAACACGUGGGAACGUGCCUUUAGGUUCGGAAUAACUCAGGGAAACUUGUGCUAAUACCGAAUGUGCCCUUCGGGGGAAAGAUUUAUCGCCUUUAGAGCGGCCCGCGUCUGAUUAGCUAGUUGGUGAGGUAAAGGCUCACCAAGGCGACGAUCAGUAGCUGGUCUGAGAGGAUGAUCAGCCACAUUGGGACUGAGACACGGCCCAAACUCCGACGGGAGGCAGCAGUGGGGAAUCUUGCCCAAUGGGCGAAAGCCUGACGCAGCCAUGCCGCGUGAAUGAUGAAGGUCUUAGGAUUGUAAAAUUCUUUCACCGGGGACGAUAAUGACGGUACCCGGAGAAGAAGCCCCGGCUAACUUCGUG